GACGAACGCUGGCGGCGUGCUUAACACAUGCAAGUCGAACGGAAAGGCCCUGCUUUUGUGGGGUGCUCGAGUGGCGAACGGGUGAGUAACACGUGAGUAACCUGCCCUUGACUUUGGGAUAACUUCAGGAAACUGGGGCUAAUACCGGAUAGGAGCUCCUGCUGCAUGGUGGGGGUUGGAAAGUUUCGGCGGUUGGGGAUGGACUCGCGGCUUAUCAGCUUGUUGGUGGGGUAGUGGCUUACCAAGGCUUUGACGGGUAGCCGGCCUGAGAGGGUGACCGGCCACAUGGGGACUGAGAUACGGCCAAGACUCCUACGGGAGGCAGCAGUGGGGAAUAUUGAACAAUGGGCGGAAGCCUGAUGCAGCAACGCCGCGUGCGGGAUGACGGCCUUCGGGUUGUAAACCGCUUUCGCCUGUGACGAAGCGUGAGUGACGGUAAUGGGUAAAGAAGCACCGGCUAACUACGUG
rnacentral:rRNA from 1 species